rnacentral:tRNA from 1 species
GGGCCGGUAGUUCAACCUGGUAGAAUACGCCCUUGGCUAGGGUGAGAUUCCGGAUUCAAACAUUUCCCCUCAGGAAGAAUGAGCAUUCUCAUGGGCCUGUGGUGAAGAGGAAAGUUCCGGCCGGUCCA